AGUUAUCAAUUACGCCGCCGGGAACUGCCCCUUACACUUAUGGGCGACGGCAGCGGGCAAUAUCCAACAAUGCGGGCAGGCUGAAGCCGGCAAUCGGGUUGGAAUGAUGAAGGCUUUAGAACGGUAAAGCUCUUUCACCCACGAGGAUGAUGACGGUACCCGAAAAGAAGACCUGGCUAACUUCGUCCCCGCAACCGCGGUAAUAGGAAAGGGGGCACCGUUUUUUUGAAUGACUGGGGGUAAAGGGGGGGUAAGGGGUUGCCCAAGUUGAGGGUGAAAACCCGGGGCUUAACCUCGGAAUUGCCUCCAAAACUGGUCGGCUUGAGUGUGGAAGAGGGUAGUGGAAUUCUCGGUGUAGAGGUGAAAUUCGUAGAUAUCGGGAAGAACACCAGUGGCGAAGGCGACAACCUGGUCCAUUACUGACGUUGAGGCGCGACAGCGUGGGGAGCAAACAGGAUUAGAUACCCUGGUAGUCCACCCCGUAAACGAUGAGAGCUGGAUGUUGG
rnacentral:rRNA from 1 species